rnacentral:sRNA from 2 species
CCUGUGAAGGUUUUCGGGCCGCGAUCAGAUCGUAUAAAUUUCCCAUUUGCUCUUUGUGUGGAGUCUGCAAUCGGACCGAGAUAGGGAUUGGUGGAAUAUUUAGCGAGAGGAUUAUUCGAACACGAGGCAUCCUCCCAUUUCCAAAUCCACUAGUGGUCUGCCUCGCGGCUGUCGCUCUCUGGCUGUUGAGAUAUGGAUUGUUACUCUCGUACAGGCGUUGUGAGAAGCGGCAUGCAUAUCUGAAUGUCUACUUGAGUGGGCAUAUUUGGAGCUUCAUGGUCGUUGUCCUAUCUUCCGUCACAAAUAACCUGGGGAAAAAAUUGGGCUUGAACUGACAUUCUUCGUCGAUGAUGGAAUACAUGCAUCCAGCGACCGAAACGAAGAAAUCGCUUGAGACGUCCGACGAUUGGAAACUCCCAGCUCUCGUCAACCGAAGUCAAGACAUUGCAACACUCGUUCGUGUUAUUCUACCAGCUUGAUGUGUAUGAUGCUCCAAUUCUUGCACACCAGAGUGACAGUCUGAUAUAACCGCAUGCUGCAGAGGAGAAGGCAGAUUCCAAUACCAUUGAGCUUGCCUUGGGAGCACCAUCCUGUUCUCAAGAUGCGACGUGGAGUUGAAAAGAGAGCGUUUCUGGUUUCUUUGUUCGACGUGUCGACCUUAAAUUCCCAGACAGUUCUUUACUCAUUUGGCUUGCCAUUGUUUCAAGGGAUGCGGAGCCCUUUGAAACAUGAUAAUGAUAUGAUGCCCCUACCAA